rnacentral:rRNA from 1 species
GACGAACGCUGGCGGCGUGCCUAACACAUGCAAGUCGAGCGAGAGACUUCGGUCUCUAGCGGCGGACGGGUGAGUAACACGUGGGUAACCUGCCUCGUAGUGGGGGAUAGCCUUCCGAAAGGAAGAUUAAUACCGCAUAACAUAGUUUAACCGCAUGGUUAGAUUAUCAAAGGAGUAAUCCGCUAUGAGAUGGACCCGCGGCGCAUUAGCUAGUUGGUGAGGUAACGGCUCACCAAGGCGACGAUGCGUAGCCGACCUGAGAGGGUGAUCGGCCACAUUGGAACUGAGAUACGGUCCAAACUCCUACGGGAGGCAGCAGUGGGGAAUAUUGCACAAUGGGCGAAAGCCUGAUGCAGCAACGCCGCGUGAGUGAUGAAGGCCUUCGGGUUGUAAAGCUCUGUCUUUGGGGACGAUAAUGACGGUACCCAAGGAGGAAGCCACGGCUAACUACGUGCCAGCAGCCGCGGUAAUACGUAGGUGGCAAGCGUUGUCCGGAUUUACUGGGCGUAAAGGAUGCGUAGGUGGAUAUUUAAGUCAGAUGUGAAAUACCCGAGCUUAACUUGGGUGCUGCAUUUGAAACUGGAUAUCUAGAGUGCAGGAGAGGUAAGUGGAAUUCCUAGUGUAGCGGUGAAAUGCGUAGAGAUUAGGAAGAACACCAGUGGCGAAGGCGACUUACUGGACUGUAACUGACACUGAGGCAUGAAAGCGUGGGGAGCAAACAGGAUUAGAUACCCUGGUAGUCCACGCCGUAAACGAUGAGUACUAGGUGUAGGGGGUAUCGACUCCCUCUGUGCCGCAGUUAACACAAUAAGUACUCCGCCUGGGAAGUACGGUCGCAAGAUUA